rnacentral:lncRNA from 1 species
AGCAGCGAGUCAGUCACCCUGGACCUGCUGACCUACGCUGACCUGGAAGCCCUGAGGAUGCGAAAGGUGGGGGCGCGACCCGGCCCCCCGGCCCCCCGCUCCGCCCUGCUCAGCUCCAAGCGCUACCUCAUCCUCGUCUACUCGGUGGAGUUCGACAGGUGACUGGGAAGAGGGCCUGGGGGUCGGGCUUAGGGGGAACGGGGCCUGGGUCUGCCGGAGCCCCGAGCGACGGCGUCACCCGUUCCUCCGGCCUCCAGGAUCCACUACCCACUGCCCCUGCCCUACCUGGGCAAGCCGGACCCCGCGGCCCUGCAGGGAGUCAUCCGGGCGCUCAGGGAGGAGCUGGCCCAGUUCAAGGCGGGGACCGGCCGCGACGGGGAGAUCCGGCGGCUGCGGGAGCAGCUGUCCCAGGCGGCGGCGGAGAAGCGGGAGCUGGAGUCGGCGCUGAGCCGGGCCCAGGCGGCGGAGGCCCGGGUGGCAGAGGCCCGGCUGGAGGAGGUGCGGGGCGGGCGGGGGACCCCGCGGGAGGUGGCGGCGUUGAGGCAGCUGGUGCGCAGCCUGGAGGAGGAGCUGCUGCGCGAGCGGAGCCAGCACCAGCGUGCGGCCGGGCGCCGCGGACAGGAGUGCAGGCAGCUGGCCCGGGAGCUGGAGGAGGUCAAGGCCUCGGAGAGAAACCUGCGCAUUCGGCUCAAGACGGUGUCCAGCGAGCUGGCCUUGUACAAGCAAGGGAGGAGGAUCCCCGGGAGACCGAGCCCGUCCCCCCCACCCCGCACGGAGCGACCGUCUUCUUGGAGCCGGGCCGACCGCUCAUCCUCCCGCGAGAGCCGUCCCCGCAGCCGGGGCCGCCCGUCCCCCUCCCCCACAGGUUUGUAGACCCGCAGGAGGGGUGAUCUCUGGAGUACAGACUCCUCCCACCCCCUCCCCCUGGGCACCCAGGGUAGCGGCCCCGGAGGAACGGGGUAGGAUCUUGCACGGGAUUCAUCUGAGACCCCUCCCGCUCCCGAUCCGUAGGUGGCCGAGCCCCCCGCUUCGACCCCACCGCCUUUGUGCAGGCCCGGCAGCAGAAGCAGAAGGAGGUCGCCCGCAACAAGUGAGGGACCCCCAGCCCCUGCCUUCCCCACCCCUGGCUCCCAACCCAAGGGGCCCUCCCUGUCCCCCCCCCCCCCCACCAGCCUGUGGUGUUCCCUCCUUGGGGUUGGGGGAGAAACGGGCUGGGGGUUGGGGGAGAAACGGGCUGACUCUUGCUCCCCGACCCCCAGCUGACGCUCCGCUCCUGUUUCCCCUCAGCCAGCGUAAACUGCGUCUCGGCUCAGGGGACCCUCCCUCCGGGGGCCGGGCCAGGGGCCGCCCCCCUUCCCGGGCCUCCGGCACCGCGCUGGCCCGGGCAGGUGCCACAGGGAAGAGCCGGACCCGCAGCUCCUCAGUGGAGAGUUUCCGGAGUCAGCGUUCGUCCUUCAGCUCCGGCAGUGAGUUGGAGGAUUUUUCCGAGCCCCUGCUGCCCCGCAGUGGCCGCCGGUGCCUGAGGAAGAGCAGACCGCCCUUGCGGGCCUCAACCUGGAACAGCCCUGUCGGGGUGAGGCCCCUUGCCCCUACUCGCCUUGUCCUGGAACAGCCCUGGGCAUGGCGACCGCGCUCCCUCCUCACCCUCGUCUCGGAACAGCCCUAGUGGAAUGACCCCCCUCCCCCCCAGCGCCCCGUGGACCUCAUCCUGGAACAACCUCGUGCAGGGGUUGCCUUCCUCCCUUCUUCUGUGGUUCAUAUUCUGGGUGGUGUGGUGGGGGACAGCGGGCCAGGAACAGAGGCUUUUAAGGCAGGGAGGGGCUGGUUCGGAGCCGGUGGCGCUGGCAAAGAGCAGCGGGGACCCCGACUCCUCUUCUCCCAGGUGCCCCCUCCUACUGGCAGCCGCCAAAAACGCCUGGUCAGCAGCACCCCCAGCCCCGGAGGUCCUGGCAAAGGUGAGGGGGCCGGGCGGGGAGACCCCAGUGCCCCUACCAGAUCCGAUCCCACCUCGGUCCGCGCCCCCAGCCCGCACUGCCCGAGGCUGAGGCCACCGGGACCGUCCCGUCUCCCCACCAGAGAAUGAGCUGUCGGAGCCGGCGGCCCAGCUGUCCGACAUCGACGCGCGGCUGCAGGCGCUGCAGGAGUACAUGACCCGGCUGGACACGAGGACGUGACCCGGAGCCCGGCGGCCGCAGAGAGGCCCGGGAGACGGCCGGGGGCCGGGGCCGGUGUCCGUCAGGGGGUUGUGUGUGUGUUUGUGUCCGUCUUUCUGCCUGCCUGUGGGCAUUUGUAAAUAAAACCGUUCGUUCACUAAUGCAAGAAACCUCUUGCAGCGACGCGCUGAGCCGAGCAGAGUGGGGUGAAGGGUGGGACGGAGCCAGUGGGGCUGCUGCCGUGCUCUGGCUGCUAAGGGGGAGGGGCGAGCCGCGACCGCUUGACUGGCCCACCCCGGCCCCCGCUGGGCCGUUCCUCCUUGCCACCCACUGCAGCUUUCAGGACCAGGGGUCGAAAAAGUACAUUUCCUCCAGGACGCCUUCCUUGACCAAGUCCUCAUUUCCUGUUCUCCCACUCCCUUCUGCAUCACCCUUGCACGUGGAUUAGUACCCUUUAUUCACCCCUCCCUCAGGCCCACAGCGCUUACCUACAUAACCCAUCACGCAGUAAUCGUAUCUGUUACACGUUCUCUGUGCCACAAAAUGUACUGAGCACUGGGGGAAGGCAGCAGCAUGGCUUAUUGGAUAGAUCAAGGGCCUGGGAGUAAGAAAGUCAUGGGUUCUGAUCCUGUCUCUGCCACUUAUCUGCUGUGUGACCUUGGGCAGGUCAUUUCACUUCUCAUGUGCCUCAGUUACUUCAUCUGUAAAAUGGGGAUUGAGACUGUGAGCCCCACAUGGGACAGGGACUGCGUCCAACCCAAGUUGCUGGUAUUGACCCCAGUGCUUAGUACAGUGCUCGGCACAUAGUAAGCGCUUAACAAAAACCAUCCUUAUCAUUACAAGAUCAUCGGAUUGGACACAGUUCCUGCCCCACGAAGGGCUCCAGGUCUCAAUCCCCGUUUCACAAAGAGGGAACUGAGGCACAGAGAAGCUAAGUGAUUUGUCACACAUCGGACAAAUGGAUCUGGGAUUAGACCCCAGGUCCUUCUGAUUCCCAGCCCCCUACUCUAUCGGCUGGGCCACGCUACUCUAU